AAAGGAACGCUAAUACCGCAUACGUCCUACGGGAGAAAGCAGGGGACMUUCGGGCCUUGYGCUAUCAGAUGAGCCUAGGUCGGAUUAGCUAGUUGGUGGGGUAAUGGCUCACCAAGGMGACGAUCCGUAACUGGUCUGAGAGGAUGAUCAGUCACACUGGAASUGAGACACGGUCCAGACUCCUACGGGAGGCAGCAGUGGGGAAUAUUGGACAAUGGGCGAAAGCCUGAUCCAGCCAUGCCGCGUGUGUGAAGAAGGUCUUCGGAUUGUAAAGCACUUUAAGUUGGGAGGAAGGGCAGUAAGYUAAUACCUUGCUGUUUUGACGUUACCGACAGAAUAAGCACCGGCUAACUCUGUGCCAGCAGCCGCGGUAAUACAGAGGGUGCAAGCGUUAAUCGGAAUUACUGGGCGUAAAGCGCGCGUAGGUGGUUCGUUAAGUUGGAUGUGAAAGCCCCGGGCUCAACCUGGGAACUGCAUCCAAAACUGGCGAGCUAGAGUACGGUAGAGGGUGGUGGAAUUUCCUGUGUAGCGGUGAAAUGCGUAGAUAUAGGAAGGAACACCAGUGGCGAAGGCGACCACCUGGAYUGAUACYGACAYUGAGGUGYGAAAGCGUGGGGAGCAAACAGGAUUAGAUACCCUGGUAGUCCACSCCGUAAACGAUGUCAACUAGCCGUUGGAAUCCUUGAGAUUUUAGUGGCGCAGCUAACGCAUUAAGUUGACCGCCUGGGGAGUACGGCCGCAAGGUUAAAACUCAAAUGAAUUGACGGGGGCCCGCACAAGCGGUGGAGCAUGUGGUUUAAUUYGAAGCAACGCGAAGAACCUUMCCAGGCCUUGACAUGCAGAGAACUUUCCAGAGAUGKAUUGKUGCCUUCGGGAACUCUGACACAGGUGMUGCAUGGCUGUC
rnacentral:rRNA from 1 species